rnacentral:rRNA from 1 species
UACGGAGGAUGCAAGCGUUAUCCGGAAUCAUUGGGCGUAAAGCGCGCGUAGGCGGCUUUGUAAGUUAGAGGUGAAAGCCCGGGGCUCAACCCCGGAACUGCCUUUAAGACUGCAUCGCUUGAAUCCAGGAGAGGUGAGUGGAAUUCCGAGUGUAGAGGUGAAAUUCGUAGAUAUUCGGAAGAACACCAGUGGCGAAGGCGGCUCACUGGACUGGUAUUGACGCUGAUGUGCGAAAGCGUGGGGAGCAAACAGG